UACGUAGGGGGCAAGCGUUGUCCGGAUUUAUUGGGCGUAAAGAGCGUGUAGGCGGCCAGAUAGGUCCGUUGUGAAAACUCGAGGCUCAACCUCGAGACGCCGAUGGAAACCAUUUGGCUAGAGUCCGGAAGAGGAGAGUGGAAAUCCUGGUGUAGCGGUGAAAUGCGCAGAUAUCAGGAAGAACACCCGUGGCUAAGGCGGCUCUCUAGUACGGUACUGACGCUGAGACGCGAAAGCGUGGGGAGCGAACAGG
rnacentral:rRNA from 1 species